AAAAUGACAACAGUAUCAUAUCAAUAACUCCAUAUACAUGUACUUUUUUAAAAAGUGAUAUUUGAAAAAUUUGGAAAUGUUGGUCUCACAAAGAAUUUAAUUUAGACCAUGUUAAUAUUAAGUUUUCUGUAAUUUUAACACGUUAAAAGACAUCCUUGCUAAAAAAAAUCUAGCAAUACAGAACCCAAAAAUUUGGUAUUAUAUUAUGUAUUUUUCAAAGUAUAUUACUUUAAAAGGGUGGAGAUAUAUUUGGGGAAAUUUUUAAAAGAAGCCAUAUUUCUGCUUUCUUUCCAAAAGACAUUUCCAUUUCACAACAUCAGUAUCAAAUGCACUGGGAAGUAUAACAACAAUCAAAAUUCAGAAAAUUUGGUUGACAUUACAAAUUGAUGGUAGGCAAAUGACUAAAUCAGAUUUUAUAAACUUAAUGCUUUUUGAAUUACCAGUUUUAAAAAAAAUACUAAAGCUGUUCAACAAUAAAAUUCUUAAUCUCCUUAGCACAUUAGCUUAAUCUAUACUAUAACAAUGUGGUUGAUUUAUAACAUGAUUUCUAAAUGCAAAAGGCAAAUUUCACAGCAGGUACCCCAUCCUGUUUCAAUUUUCAUAUACAUAACAUUAAAACAUAGUUAUACAAAACGUAAAUGGAUUCUUCAACAAAUAAAACAAUACAUACAAAUGGAAUAAAUUAAGAUCACAGUUAUGUAGCUAAUAUAAAUGUUUUUUUGUCAAUGGUGACUGGGCUAUUCCAAAAAUAAAGCCUUUUUUUUAAAACUGAAUUCAUAUUAUUGAAUCUAUCUAUGAAAUCAAAUUCUACAGUGAGAUGUUUACCUGGCUGGAAAAUAGUACUGAUCUGCAGCAAAAGUAAUGUUUUGAUUUGGAAAGAAUUUCCACAAAACAUGUCAUUUUCAUUUUGAAGAAGUCUUAUACUCAGAAUUUAUAGCAAAUGUUAAACAGAUAAAAAAUAAUCAGAUUACAAAAUGUACAAAUUAAUCAUUAAUUUAUACAAAUGUUUAGUUAUUGUUUCUAUGAAAUGAGUGAAAUAGUAUAACCAAGUGCUCUGCAGGGCGCAGCUUUAUACAACCGCAGAGGUCGAACCCUGAACAGUUGGGGAGUAGGACAAAACAUUCAAGCGUGAUACAGCUCUGAAUUUGGAUUGUGAUCAAAUUUUUGACAUUACAUGGGUUUUUUUUACACAAAAAAAAUGUCAAGAUUUUACAAAUCAAUUAAAGAUUUCUUCUUCAAACUUUUUAAAUCUAAAAUUAAAUAGUUGACACAGCAUAGGUUUCUGACACAGAAUGAAUGUGGUCUAAUGAACUUAAAAAGUUUUUUUUUGCCUUUGAGCAAUUCACUAUGCUGUUGAACAUUAAUCCUCUCAAAAAAAUGUUUGAAGAAAUUUUCUUUUUAUUUUAUGAAAUCUGAAAUGAGAAAAAUUUAAACACCCCCUUUUUUUUCACAUCCCCGUUUCCCUUUUUCCAAAACUGAUAUCAAUUCAAAUUUCUAAUGGAGUUUGCAACAAUAACUACUCUUUUAAAUACAUCAUAAAAUAUUAAAA
rnacentral:lncRNA from 1 species